AGAUGUGUUGAGUGCACAGAUCUGGGUUGCAGCAAGCAUUAAUUUGUCCUACUGACUUCCUGUGAGGGUUCGGUGUCUGCAGCGGGGCGUGAUGCUGCACCACGCGUACAGAAGCAGAAAGCUACACCAGAGCUACAACUUGGCUCUUCUGGCAAUGCAUAGCCAGACCUCUUCAGGAUCAGAGCUGGACAAGGAAGCGAUCAAAAGCAGCAAACAAACCUAAAUUAAAAUUGGAAUGAUGAAGCCUAUAAGACUUUGCGUUAAUCCUGCAUGUUGUGCCUCCAGACAUCUGUCAGCCCCCAUAUACAGCCAAUUCUCAGGGCUAGCUGUGGAUAGAGGAAGAAAUGUGCCACUUUACAAAUACUGCCAGCAAGAGCCUUGGAAUUAUCUUCUACAAGGACAAAAACAUGAGAGGUGCUGCUUCCUGCCUUUCAGAGGCAAGCCAAACUACUUCACAAACUGGGGGCUUAAACAGGAAAGGAGAUGAUACUGCCUCAAACCCCGCUUCCCGCAGUACCUCAAUACUUCCGUCCACAAAAUCAUCAGGUGCAAGCACACCAAAAGCCACAAGUCAUCCUGCUUGAUCCUCAGUUACCAGCAGCAUUCAAACAUCAAAAUCAGAGCCUCAUCCACCAAGCUGCAAAACUUCUGUAGGACCAUAGUCAAAGAGCUGCACUUAGGCUGAGAUGAAAACUGUUUCAGUAGCUGAGCUGAAGAAAUGACGCUCACUUUCACCUUUGCCGCAUCACUGCACUGUUCACUACCGGGAAAUGGAGGUGGCAUUCAGACCAGCCGCUCUGCUGGAAGAUGUUGCUGUGGGGUAAGUUUCUGCAUUCUGUCCACAGGUGUUCUGCAGAGUGUAGAAAAGAGUUUCAGAGCGUCCUAGAGCGAAUGAAUACUCUAUAGUUGCUGGAAGAUGCACCUCAUCCCAAUAGAGAGUAAAAAAGAAAAUACUAAACAUUUUCAGGAUAAAAGAGAAGGCACUGCCAUGAAAGUACAGACCUGAGAAGCCACUGUCUCAAACAAAAGUAGUUAAAAUAGUGUUGUUGUUGUGAGAAUACUAUAAUUUUAAAACACUUAAUAGAACAAAAAUAACUGCAUUUUAUCUGCAUUCUUGUAUGAGCUGGAACUGUGCUUGUUACACACUGCUAUCCCACAUCGCCAUGUGACACACAAGUGGCAGAUCACUGCUCAUAAGGACUGUCUGCUGGCAAAGAGGAGCCAUAAAACUUUUCUAAAGAAGACAUCAGCACAUUCCUCUACAGACAGGGAAUUAUGCCAAUUCCAGACACACUCCUGCAUUCCAAAGGAGGAAUAUAUUGAACUAUAAUAAAUGGCUGCAGGGUUAUUUCAAACCAGCAUAAUGAAUGAGCUCAGAGACUGAGAAAUCCCCUCCCGGCCCUAGGAAGCAGAGGAGGAAUAUCAAGCUGACAUUCCCAUUUGUGCAGUUAGUCCACAGUGUGAUCUUGUCAUUGGGUUGGAGGCAGCACUCGCAGGAGCAGCAUAGAUGGAACUUGCAGGUAGAGGGGGAGUGAAGAGCACAAGUGAAUUUUGGAGCUGAUAGCUGCUCUGCCUGCAUCAUAGGAUCAUUAAGGUCAGAAAAGACCUUUAAGAUCAUCUAAGUCCAGCCAUCCACCUACCACCAAUAUUGCCCACUGUGAAUCUGUGCCUAGAUAUUUUGCUGUUUAGCUUGUAGUAGUUGGAGUGCUUUCUGGUACACAGAUCAUACCUGGAACUGUGCCAGAGCAGCGUGGCACUAUGACAGGUAGGGUCACAUUGCACUUAGGUUUUCUGAGGAUGUGUUUAUCUGCAGGUGAGCGGCUGUUCAGGGAAACAGAACCCAAAUCCUUGGUAAAGCUGUAGGCAGCUCUGCUGACAGCAUAUGUUUUUUCUCUCUCAUCUCUCCUUCCCUGCUAGGAUACCCCCAGGCUUCCCUCCUUAGGGAUAGAUGUUGCAUCACUCUCCAGUGACAGUUCUUCAGGCCCACAGCUGUCACCAUUUGAGGAGCAGGUCUUCCUCUCUCAAGUAAUAUGCUGCCACUCUACAUGUGUCCUGUCAGGUUGCUAAAAUCAGUUUGGAUCACAAAACUUUUGCAGGAGCAUGCAAAGCACAGAGCCAAGUUAGGUUUCACCUUUCCAGAAGAGGUACCCAAAUGUUGCUCUUUGCUGCAGGCCAACAUUUUCCCCCUUUCCUUAUCCCCGGGCUCUGGCUUGAGUGGCACCACAGUUUUCACUGCUGUUACCACUCUGUUACCACUUCUUGCAAUAUGAAAUUAUGGAUUUUAAGCAAAAGGCCAACACCUUAAAUUUACUCUUCAUGUCAAAACCUCAGCUUUAGUUUAGGCAAGCUUCUAGUCUGCAAUUUAAACACAUUUUUCACUUCUUAGAGUCAUAGAACCAUUAAGGUUGGAAAAGACCUCUAAGAUCUAUUCCAAUCAUCUGCCUUCCACAAAUAUUGCCUACUAACUACAUCCCUCAGUGCCACAACUACACAGUUCUGGAACACCUCCAGGGAUGGUGACUCUACCACCUCCAUGGGCAGCCUGUGCCAGCACCACUCUUACAGACAAGAAAUUCUUCCUAAAAUCCAACCUGAACCUCCCCUCGUGCCACUUGAUGCCACUACCCUUCAUCCUAUUCUUGGAGAAGGAGAAACUGCUUACAAACUGACAUCAACAACUAAAAAAACCCAGAAACAGAAAAUGAAUUAAAGAAAUAUCUUUUCAGAUUUAUAACAUUUUAAAUCCUCCGUUUUAUUUUACAACAGUAUUGUGAAGAAGUGUUCCUAUAUAUUUUCUCUUGGAGAACUAAAUAUGAUUAUCCUUCUCUCCCUUUUGACUUUCCAUUUGGUGGGCUGAGGAUUGCUGCAGCUUCACUCAGCAUGUUUUGAUACAGCUGGAUGAGGAAUCAUGUGGACUUAUUUUUCCUUCUUGGUCAUUACUGGCAGUGAGUUGGCACUUAGUGAUGGUGAACUCUGUACUAACUUCUGCCACAGAGAAUCAGAGACAUUUGGCAGAAUCACCAAGGUUGGAAAAGACCUCCAAGAUCCUCUAGUCCAACUAUCCACCUACAACUGCUGGGUGAGAACAGGCAAUAAUUUGAAUUGUAUGAGGUUAACUGCUAGACAAUAACACAUGUAAUCAUUACUAUGGUUGUUAUAUGCCUUGUCAAUGGUAUUACAGUAAGAAUCACCCAGACUAAAGAAGAAAGAGUUCUGAUGGAAGCAGAACUAACUUCAGCAAGCAGUAAUCCAACACCAUGCAUCACCCCUUUCACACUGAAGGACUGUUAUAACAAGAUGGUGUCGAAAGUCAUAGACUAAAUUAACUCCAUGUACAAUUUACUGGGAUGGCCUCCCACUGGGAGGGGGAAGGGAAGUAAGCAAAAGGCUGCUUGGUGUUAAGCUGCUUGCUGGGUUAAACCACAACAGCACAUUGGAAGAAACAUACUAUCACAUGCAGUCAGCUGAAUUUACCCAGAGCUGGAAUGAGACAGGAAAAAAAAACCAUCAUUAUGGUGGUGUACGCAUCUGAGGCCAGUAACACCAAGCCAGACUAGGGGUCCCAACACUGAGGAAGCCCUUCGUGUUGAUACCUCCAGCCACAGGAAAAGGCAGUGCCUGCUUAAGUCCAGAAAGUAAAACAUUUCUGCAUUAUGGGAAGGUUUGCCCAUAGGAAAACCGAUUUGAACUCCAGAUGACAGAACUGCCUGUUCAGUAAGUCAGGAUCAAGGGCAAUGCUGUUAUCCUUCAUGUCCACUGUGACCCUCACAUUAGGACCUCCAGUCUCAGGGCAGGAUGAAGAAUAAAACUGAAUGCUAAUACUCUAAAA